ensembl:lncRNA
AUGGGGCUUAUUCUUGUUCUUUCACAUAUCAGGCGUGGUGUGUGCACAAGAUUCAGGUCCUUUAUGGAUAUGCAAUACAUCCUUCUAUCAUUGGAACCAAGACAUAAGUAUUGUUCCUUGCCCUUUGAGCAGUUACUGACAGGCCUUUGGCAGCAACUGGAUGGGAGCAGGCGCUGGUGUCAGGGCUUGUCCUGGGCCCAGAGGUGCCAGUGGCUCAGGAUGGGACAUGCACUCCUGUCAUCCUCUGAAUGGGUGAAAAGGAGGCCUUUAUUAACCCCCCGGAGCUGUGCAGAGCACUUUUAUGAUGGAUGAAUGCACUUUUUUGGGCUUCAAAAUCUCGACCCUCAUUCACUGCCAUUAUAAAACUUGGAAGAGCCAGGACAUUUUUAAAUAAAACUCCAGUUGUGUUUGUCUGAAAGAAGACAGUAAUAUACUGUACACCUAGGAGGGUGACACCCUUUAAGGCCCUUGAAGGUUGAGGGUGAAGAACCGGACAUCCUUCUAGCAUGGCAAAAUAAACUAGAAAGGUGAAAUGAAUAAAAGAUGUUGUGGUUAACAUUACUUGAAGAUACUUUCACAUUUUGUUCUACAACAUACAGUGAAAUACGCAGUCAUACAUCAGACAUGUAUUUU